rnacentral:rRNA from 1 species
UACGAAGGGGCUAGCGUUGCUCGGAAUCACUGGGCGUAAAGGGUGCGUAGGCGGGUCUUUAAGUCAGGGGUGAAUCCUGGAGCUCAACUCCAGAACUGCCUUUGAUACUGAGGAUCUUGAGUUCGGGAGAGGUGAGUGGAACUGCGAGUGUAGAGGUGAAAUUCGUAGAUAUUCGCAAGAACACCAGUGGCGAAGGCGGACUCACUG